UGCUAAUUAACACAGGCAGCUAGCUAGUCCACGCCGUGUGUUGCGUAAAAAAGCGCUGAAAUAUGGCCGUGUGGGAACCCUAACCCUAUAUAAAAGACUAGACGCUGUGUUGCAUAUUGCUGCCUUUCGCAGGUCGGAGUGCGAAUUGCACACUUUGGUCACUAGGAAAAUGGGAAGGAAUCUUAUAGCUUGGAUGGAAGGCUGGAGGAGGGAACAAAGGGAAUGGUUCCUGAAACAUCAAUGACCUGAUGCAUGGCCUCUACAGCAGUGCUUGGCCACCCACUCAGUUACCAGUGACAUUCUGCCAUAUUCCAGGAAAAGGAGACAGCAGAACCACCACUCCUUAAAUCCAUAGUCAUUAACCACAUUUCCAUCCACAGUUUUUAAGCAAGUCAUACUUUAUUAAAAAGAGUGAAGACGCCUUUAUGUGCAAAUAUUGAUAUAAUAACCAUCAUAUCGAAGUCACGCGAUGAUAUGGUGGGUGGUCCUCCCACUACGACUAGGGAAAGCAUGCAGUUUAUUAAGCUAUUGAUUAAAUAAAAUAUGAUGAACUUCACAGGGUGGUGAAAGUGCUAGAUGCUCCUUUCCAAAAAAUAUUGAGUGUCUUAUUCUGGUGACAUGAUGAUUGACAAUUGAAUGCUGUUUGACAAAUACAAAUAUUCUCACUCUUAUCCAUAAUAACCUCAUCAUGUAGACCAGUGGUCACCAACCUAUCUAUCUUCUGGUCGAUCUCCAAUCCAUUCCUAGUCCAUUCCUAGCCAAACAUUUCUGUAAAAAACCCAACGAUAAAGCCUUGCAUUCCUAUGUUUUUGUUCGGUUCACGCUGUUGACGGUAGCUGUACUUGAUUCAGCAGCCCUAGGGCCGGGAAGGCAAAGUGUUUCCAUUUUGAACCAUUUCAUGUCUGAACUUCAGGUAGAACUUUGUCUACCCCGCAGGCCCAGAGAGAAAAUCAAGUGCACCGAAAGGUCUACCGCUGGCCAAUCAGAUAGCUCAGAUCACCGUGUCUGCAGUUUCCUCGCGCCAUAGACAGUAAAAAAAGAAGAAGCCUCGAAUGCACACAAGUUGAUAAUGUGAGAUUUCAAAACUUUUAAAACCAUAACUAGAGAGACUAAACCAAUACAGCAAAGAGCUAUUGUUUUUAUGAGUAUGUUAAUGUAAGUUGUUAUUCAGCACUGUUAGAACUUUGUUCCACAGAUUUAUAAGCCAUAAAAUGCGCGUUUCGACAAGCUUGCGUUGUUAUUACUUGCAGCUUGUGUCUUUUUAAUAUCGAGGAAUAUUUCACUUUCUCUGGCCCCAUGUUCACUAGCAUGCGGUGCCGCGUGGUGAAACACCGCUUCCCAUUCAUUUUCAAUGGAAGGAAAGAGGUGAGAAGCGGAGAGGGCGGGGGACCUUUGGGCUGCGCAAAGGUGGCGUGGGACGCGGCAUGUUCACUAGCAAUCGGUAAUUGCCGCAUGCCACUUAGGCCGCCCAUUGUGACUCGCUUGUGGGCGUGCUAGCAGCAUAUAACAGCACGUUCGAUUGUGCAUCAAGAAAUCAGCAUAGCAAGUUUGUAUUUUUAUUUUAUCUUUAUUUAACUAGGCAAGUCAGUUAAGAA